rnacentral:rRNA from 1 species
UACGAAGGGGGCUAGCGUUGCUCGGAAUUACUGGGCGUAAAGGGCGCGUAGGCGGCACUGUUAGUCAGGCGUGAAAGUCCUGGGCUCAACCUGGGAACUGCGCUUGAUACGGCAGAGCUAGAGGAUGGAAGAGGCUCGCGGAAUUCCCAGUGUAGAGGUGAAAUUCGUAGAUAUUGGGAAGAACACCAGUGGCGAGGGCGACUUACUGGACACAUAUUGACGCUGAGGUGCGAAAGCGUGGGGAGCAAACAGG